CGCUGCCAGUUGCCAACGGGUGAAGCCGGGCACUCUGGCGGGACUGCCAUCGACAAGAUGGAGGAAGGUGGGGAUGACGUCAAGUCAUCAUGGCCCUUAUGUCCAGGGCGACACACGUGCUACAAUGGCCGGCACAGCGGGAAGCGAGGCAGUGAUGCCGAGCGGAUCCCUUAAAGCCGGUCUCAGUUCGGAUUGAAGUCUGCAACUCGACUUCAUGAAGCUGGAAUCGCUAGUAAUCGCAGAUCAGCCAAGCUGCGGUGAAUACGUUCCCGGGCCUU
rnacentral:rRNA from 1 species